rnacentral:rRNA from 1 species
UACGAAGGGGACUAGCGUUGUUCGGAAUCACUGGGCGUAAAGCGCACGUAGGCGGAUUCGUAAGUCAGGGGUGAAAUCCCGGGGCUCAACCUCGGAACUGCCUUUGAUACUGCGGGUCUUGAGUCCGAUAGAGGUGGGUGGAAUUCCUAGUGUAGAGGUGAAAUGUGUAGAUAUUAGGAAGAACACCGGUGGCGAAGGCGGCCCACUGGAUCGGUACUGACGCUGAGGUGCGAAAGCGUGGGGAGCAAACAGG